rnacentral:rRNA from 1 species
GUAAGGGUGACCUGCGGAGGGAUCAUUGCUGGAACGCGCCCCUGGCGCACCCAGAAACCCUUUGUGAACUUAUACCUACCGUUGCCUCGGCGCAGGCCGGCCCCCCUCACCGGGGGCCCCCCGGAGACGGGGAGCAGCCCGCCGGCGGCCAACCAAACUCUUGUUUCUUAGUGAAUCUCUGAGUAAAAAUCAUAAAUGAAUCAAAACUUUCAACAACGGAUCUCUUGGUUCUGGCAUCGAUGAAGAACGCAGCGAAAUGCGAUAAGUAAUGUGAAUUGCAGAAUUCAGUGAAUCAUCGAAUCUUUGAACGCACAUUGCGCCCUCUGGUAUUCCGGAGGGCAUGCCUGUUCGAGCGUCAUUUCAACCCUCAAGCCUGGCUUGGUGAUGGGGCACUGCCUUCGUAACAGAGGGCAGGCCCUGAAAUCUAGUGGCGAGCUCGCUAGGACCCCGAGCGUAGUAGUUUAUAUCUCGUUCUGGAAGGCCCUGGCGGUGCCCUGCCGUUAAACCCCCAACUUCUGAAAAUUUGACCUCGGAUCAGGUAGGAAUACCCGCUGAACUUAAGCAUAUCAAUAAG